CUACGGGGUGCAGCAGUGGGGAAUAUUGGACAAUGGGGGAAACCCUGAUCCAGCAAUGCCGCGUGUGUGAAGAAGGCCUGCGGGUUGUAAAGCACUUUCGGUUGGGAGGACUGCUUCUAGCACUAAUAUUGUUGGAAGUUGACGUUACCUUCAGAAGUAGCACCGGCUAACUCGCGUGCCAGCAGCCGCGGUAAUACGGCGGGUGCAAGCGUUAAUCGGAAUUACUGGGCGUAAAGCGCGCGUAGGCGGCUAGAUCAGUCGGGUGUGAAAGCCCCGGGCUUAACCUGGGAACUGCAUCCGAUACUGUCUAGCUUGAGUACAGGAGAGGAGAGUGGAAUUCCACAUGUAGCGGUGAAAUGCGUAGAUAUGUGGAGGAACACCAAUGGCGAAGGCAGCUCUCUGUCCUGAUACUGACGCUGAGGUGCGAAAGCGUGGGGAGCAAACAGGAUUAGAUACCCGGGUAGUC
rnacentral:rRNA from 1 species